rnacentral:rRNA from 1 species
CAGACGGGGGAGUAACGCGUGAGAAUUUACCUUUGGGAGGGGGAUAACAAUUGGAAACGAUGGCUAAUACCCCAUAUGCUUUUUUGAGUGAAACGGAUUUAUUCGCCUAAAGAAAAGCUCGCGGCUGAUUACCUAGGUGGUAAGGUAAUGGCUUACCAAGGCGACGAUCAGGAUCUGGUUUGAGAGGAUGAUCAGACACACUGGAACUGAGACACGGUCCACACUCCUACGGGAGGCAGCAGUGGGGAAUUUUCCGCAAUGGGCGAAAGCCUGACGGAGCAAUACCGCGUGAGGGAAGAAAGCCUACUGGGUUGUAAACCUCUUUUUUCAGGGAGGAAAAAAAUGACGUGUACCUGAAGAAUAAGCAUCGGCUAACUCCGUGCCAGCAGCCGCGGUAAGACGGAGGAUGCAAGUGUUAUCCGGAAUUACUGGGCGUAAAGCGUCUGUAGGUGGUUUAAUAAGUCAACUGUUAAAUCUUGAGGCUUAACUUCAAAACGGCAGUCGACACUAUUAGACUACAGUAUAGUAGGGGUAAAGGGAAUUUCCAGUGCAGCGGUGAAAUGCGUAGAUAUUGCAAAGAACACCGAUGGCGAAGGCACUUUACUGGGCUAUUACUAACACUCACAGACGACAGCUAGGGUAGCAUAUGGGAUUAGAUACCCCAGUAGUC